UACGGAGGGUGCAAGCGUUAUCCGGAUUUAUUAGGUUUAAAGGGUCCGCAGGCGGAAAUUUAAGUCAGUGGUGAAAGCCCAUCGCUCAACGAUGGAACUGCCAUUGAUACUGAAUUUCUUGAAUCUGAUUGAAGUAGGCGGAAUAUGUCAUGUAGCGGUGAAAUGCUUAGAUAUGACAUAGAACACCGAUAGCGAAGGCAGCUUACUAAGUCAGUAUUGACGCUCAUGGACGAAAGCGUGGGGAGCGAACAGG
rnacentral:rRNA from 1 species